CUCCGGUUGAUCCUGCCGGACCCGACUGCUAUCAGAGUGAGAUUAAGCCAUGCGAGUUAACGUAGCAAUACGUGGCGCACGGCUCAGUAACACGUAGUCAACAUGCCCAGAGGACGUGGAUAACCUCGGGAAACUGAGUCUAAACCGCGAUAAGUGAGGAUUUCUGGAAUGGUUCCUGACUAAAAUCUAUAUGGCCUCUGGAUUGGACUGCGGCCGAUCAGGCUGUUGGUGAGGUAAUGGCCCACCAAACCUGUAACCGGUACGGGCUCUGAGAGGAGGAGCCCGGAGAUGGGCACUGAGACAAGGGCCCAGGCCCUAUGGGGCGCAGCAGGCGCGAAACCUCUGCAAUAGGCGAAAGCCUGACAGGGUUACUCUGAGUGACUUUCGCUAAGAAAGUCUUUUGGCACCUCUAAAAAGGGUGCAGAAUAAGGGGUGGGCAAGUCUGGUGUCAGCCGCCGCGGUAAUACCAGCACCCCGAGUGGUCGGGACGAUUAUUGGGCCUAAAGCAUCCGUAGCCGGUUCUGCAAGUCCCCCGUUAAAUCCAGCUGCUCAACAGAUGGGCCGCGGAGGAUACUACAGAGCUAGGAGGCAGGAGAGGCAAGCGGUACUCAGUGGGUAGGGGUAAAAUCCGUUGAUCCAUUGAAGACCACCAGUGGCGAAGGCGGCUUGCCAGAACGCGCUCGACGGUGAGGGAUGAAAGCUGGGGGAGCAAACCGGAUUAGAUACCCGGGUAGUCCCAGCUGUAAACGAUGCAGACUCGGUGAUGAGUUGGCUUAUUGCUAACUCAGUGCCGCAGGGAAGCCGUUAAGUUUGCCGCCUGGGGAGUACGGUCGCAAGACUGAAACUUAAAGGAAUUGGCGGGGGAGCA
rnacentral:rRNA from 1 species